rfam:Rhodovulum sp. ES.010 genome assembly, contig: Ga0114012_11
UUUGGUGGUCAUAGCGCGAGCAAAACACCCGGCUCCAUUCCGAACCCGGUCGUUAAGUGCCGUAGCGCCGAUGGUACUGCGUCUCAAGACGUGGGAGAGUAGGUCGCCGCCAAAC